rnacentral:rRNA from 1 species
GACGAACGCUGGCGGCGUGCUUAACACAUGCAAGUCGAACGGGCCCGCUCUCUUUUUGGGGGUGGGUUGAGUGGCGAACGGGUGAGUAUCACGUGAGUAACCUGCCCCCUGCUCCUGGAUAACUGCUUGAAAGGGCGGCUAAUACGGGGUGUGCCGGCUGGUCCGCAUGGGCCUGGUCGGGAUAGUUUCAUCUUCGGGUGUUUCGGUGGGGGAUGGGCUCGCGGCCUAUCAGCUUGUUGGUGGGGUGAUGGCCCACCAAGGCGGUGACGGGUAGCCGGCCUGAGAGGGUGGGCGGCCACACUGGGACUGAGACACGGCCCAGACUCCUGCGGGAGGCAGCAGUGGGGGGUAUUGCACAAUGGGCGGAAGCCUGAUGCAGCGACGUCGCGUGAGGGAUGGAGGCCUUCGGGUUGUGAACCUCUUUCUCCGGUGGUGAAGGCCCUGUCCGUUGCGGCGGGGUUGACGGUAGCCGGGUAUGAAGCGCCGGCUAACUACGUG